rnacentral:lncRNA from 1 species
ACAAACAGUAUUGCUAUCAGCAGAAGUGGAACAGAGACAAACUCGGAACUAGAAGCCAAAAGCUUCCAAAAACUUAGAAAAAUCAGUAGUUGGGGCUUCGUGGGUUUGUUUUGCUUCGGGAUUUUUUGGCCCGUUCUCAAGUAAGCAAGCAGAGCUAAUGCCAGGGGUUCACUUCUUUCUGCUUGGGACAUCUCAGAUUAAUUCAGCUGACACUGAAGAAGCUCAUUUGUUGCUCAGACAAGACUGACUUUGCAAGGGUUGGGUUUACUUCAGUGCCUAAAACCCAACAAUUCCAGAGAUUCUCUCAAUAGGUAAAUCAACUCUCCAUUGGUCUGUGAACUUUUAUUAUUUUUCAACAGUGGCACCUUGUGAUCACAACAAAGUAUUACAGUUUUCAAAUAUAACAUCUCCCCAAAUGGAAAUCCCUAAGUGAACGAAUCCAAAACAACAAUGGCUACCUGUAUUCCCACUAAAGAGCAAGUCAAACGCUUUUCUCAGGCUAACCAUUCCUACAGGCUGACAACAGCACCCCCCUGUAGCCCAAAUAAAACCUCCAAUUACACGGUGAUAAUUUAGACAGCACAUUAAACACACACGGUGUUAUUUUCCCCACUCAUCUAAUCACUACUGACUAGAUAUGCAAUGAUGUUCAUUCUAUCAUAAAAAUGAAGACACCUAUCUUCUGUAGCAUCGAUGUUCACAUGAACCAAUUCCUUACAAAGCCUGCAUUCUCUCCACUUGACUCAUCUCCAAUUGUGUACAGACUCUUCCCUAAUGAAACUAAAACGAUAUGCACCACGUGUGAACUUUUAAAAAUUGUUCAAUGAAGUAAAAAGCUUUAUUUGCUUCAGAUUUUCAAAUCUCAAAUAACAGAUGGAGAAGUGCUAUAAAAAUCAAAGCACUACAAAUGUUGGUGUUUCAUCAGUAAUGCUUUGACUUGACAACAGGAUCUGUGAGCAGAACUUCGUUUAGUUUUCUGACUAACUGAACAUACUCCACUUCCCAAACGCAAGACAUGAGCCAACCAAGAUUUUACCUGUAACUUGGUAACACAAAUGUUUAUCCCAGUGUCAAGUCAGAUGCCCAAAGAGUCCCACUCACUCAGCAACUACAUCUAAUUUGGUCUUGGAUUUCUUUUAUUCUCCUCAUUCUUGUGCUAUGCUUCUCAGUACAUACUUGACUGUGUAGGCAAAGGCUGCAAAACCAACUAUAACAAACAAGUUCGCCAGAGCUCCACCUAAGAGUCCAUGGUUACGGUUGGCCUGCUGGAGGCCAGGAUGGUUGGCAGGUGCCAAUGGAACGUGCCCAUUAAGAAGGGGUAUUCCAUUCUGACCGUAGUGUGCUUCCCCAUCAGGGACAACAUCUGGUAAAGGGAGGGAUGGAGGUCUGCUGUUGAGCUCUUCUUGUGCUUUCUGUUUUUGUUUAAUCUCCUCCACCACUUCAGGGAAGAGCUCACAGAAGACUUUAUCUUUUAAAUUGAAUGCUAGGCUUUGUGCAGCAAGUUGUCGUUUUGCAAACUCUGAAGUCUCUAUACUGCCCAGGGUGGGACCCUUUUCCACCAUGAAACUAAGGAGGCCCGUCAAGAUCGUUGAGACUGACCAAGCUGGAUUCCACGUAUCAGGGUGGAAAUCAGUGAUUGAAAGACAUAACCUUGUAUUACACUUAAACCUUCCAUUAGGUGUAAUCAUAUAAAUACUAGGAGGUUUAAAAGGAAAUUCUCUGGGGAAUAUUAGUUUCCCAUGAUAAUAGCCACCUUCGUAAGGAGUUGUUUCAGGUCCCCGGACAACAUAGUGCCAUUCAAGGAUGUUAGAUGGGAGGGGUUCUGCACAGAUAUAAGGCACUGGAUCUUUCUUAAUUCGAAGGUAGUCUUGUUUAAGUCUCUGUGUUGCUGUCGUUGGUGCUCUCUUAUUACUGUUGUUGCUCAUCUCUCCCUGCUAGAGCAGGCCCCUCCACCGCCGGGUCGCUCCACGGGCCCGCAGCCAGCGGCCAAGCAAGGGAAGCAGAGAGAGAAGGAGCACCGAAAACGGACAGCGGGCAGGACUGAGCCGGGCAGGGCAGGGCCGAGACCCCAGCACCUCCCGCUGCGGCGCUACCGCAGCUUCCAGCCAAGAUGGCGGCCC